ACUCCCAACUCCUAUCAGCCUCAGCCAGCGUGGCCAGUGAGCAGUGACGAUGCAGCUCAACACUAUUCUGACUACCCCUGGAAUGGACAGUCUAGGGAAGACCGUGAGAGCGAGAGAGGGCCAGGGCUGUGAAGAAGGAAGUACAGGAAGUAACAGAGCCAUGUAUCCACCACUGAAAAUGGCAAAGACUACAGAAUAGGUCAUAAGUAAUGGGAAGGUUGUGGCAAGAGGACACAGCAGGACUAAUUUGUUGAUCUGAUUAAUUGAAAGGUAAGUGCCAUCCAUUAGAAUUUUGUAUUUCAUCACUACCAAUCGCCAACAGUGAUAUCCUGGUAAUCUACCCAUGGGGGGGGGGGGUCCUCAGGAAUUUCCAGAUUGUUGUAUGCCAUUUGUGAAAUAUUUUAUGAACAAAUACUAAAAAUAUUUUCAAAGCCCUGGCUGUCCUUUCCCCUCCUUUCAUUUAACAACAAAGUAUACUGGCUGCAGUCUAGCAAACUUGUUUAUGUAGAAGAUUACAUGUAUGCAUGCAGCCAGUUGUUUUUUUGUUAAGAAAAAGUUUGCACAUUUGAAAUUAUGGCCAUUUGCCAUUACCUUCAGUCUGCAUGACCCAUAUUUUGUAUCCCUGCUCAGUAACUAGCUUUCUUAAAACAGUCACUUAGUUGCAUGGAAUUGCUGGGUUAGGGCCCAAGUCUCCAACUCCUACCUCUCAAAAUUGCUUGCUAAGUACAUUUGCCACAGAUGUUUACUCCCUUCAUAUGCCACUCUUGGUUUUUGGUUGGCAAAUUUCAGAUUGGAGGGAAGGGGAGUAUUUUGGGUGGGUGACUGGAUUUGGGCUUGGAACUUCUACUUGCUGAUACCUAUUAUGUAUCAUUGUCUUACAAUGGGAGAAAAUGGCUUCAUUUAAUAAAGUCUUUUUAAUUA